AGCGCACCCUUCGGGGCGAGCGGCGGANGGGUUAGUAACGCGUGGGAACGUACCCUUUUCUACGGAAUAGCCUCGGGAAACUGAGAGUAAUACCGUAUAAGCCCUUCGGGGGAAAGAUUUAUCGGUAAAGGAUCGGCCCGCGUUAGAUUAGAUAGUUGGNGGGGGNNNNGNNCUACCAAGUCUACGAUCUAUAGCUGGUUUUAGAGGAUGAUCAGCAACACUGGGACUGAGACACGGCCCAGACUCCUACGGGAGGCAGCAGUGGGGAAUCUUAGACAAUGGGCGCAAGCCUGAUCUAGCCAUGCCGCGUGUGUGAUGAAGGCCUUAGGGUCGUAAAGCACUUUCGCCAGGGAUGAUAAUGACAGUACCUGGUAAAGAAACCCCGGCUAACUCCGUGCCAGCAGCCGCGGUAAUACGGAGGGGGUUAGCGUUGUUCGGAAUUACUGGGCGUAAAGCGUACGUAGGCGGAUCAGAAAGUAGGGGGUGAAAUCCCGAGGCUCAACCUCGGAACUGCCUCCUAAACUCCUGGUCUUGAGUUCGAGAGAGGUGAGUGGAAUUCCAAGUGUAGAGGUGAAAUUCGUAGAUAUUUGGAGGAACACCAGUGGCGAAGGCGGCUCACUGGCUCGAUACUGACGCUGAGGUACGAAAGUGUGGGGAGCAAACAGGAUUAGAUACCCUGGUAGUCCACACCGUAAACGAUGAAUGC
rnacentral:rRNA from 1 species